GCUCCGGUUGCUUAGUGGUUAAACCGUUCGCCUCGGAUGCGGGAGGUAGUGGGUUCGAUGCCCGGUUGAGUCA